rnacentral:rRNA from 1 species
GAUGAACGCUAGCGGCAGGCCUAACACAUGCAAGUCGAGGGGUAGAAGUUGCUUGCAACUUUGAGACCGGCGCACGGGUGCGUAACGCGUAUGCAAUCUGCCUUGUACUGAGGGAUAGCCCAGAGAAAUUUGGAUUAAUACCUCAUAGUAUUAUGGUGUGGCAUCACAUUAUAAUUAAAGUUCCAACGGUACAAGAUGAGCAUGCGUCCCAUUAGUUAGUUGGUAAGGUAACGGCUUACCAAGACGAUGAUGGGUAGGGGUCCUGAGAGGGGGAGCCCCCACACUGGUACUGGGACACGGACCAGACUCCUACGGGAGGCAGCAGUGAGGAAUAUUGGUCAAUGGGCGCAAGCCUGAACCAGCCAUGCCGCGUGCAGGAUGACGGUCCUAUGGAUUGUAAACUGCUUUUAUACGGGAAGAAACACUCCUACGUGUAGGAACUUGACGGUACCGUAAGAAUAAGGAUCGGCUAACUCCGUGCCAGCCGCCGCCGUAAAAC